rnacentral:lncRNA from 1 species
GGAGAGUACAGCCACAUUCCAUGGGUACCCUGGCAACAGGUUGGUCCCCUCAGCUCCCCUCAGCUCCCUCAGUGGGAGCAGAAGGGGGUUUGGCCCAGGGCUGUGCAGGAUCUGUGGCUGGAGGGUAAGGCUCGAGCAGGGUGCUGAAGCUGGGGUGGGAGUUGAUGUGGCUCUGAGGGCACCGUGCUGCAGGCAGAGGCAUCACCCUGCAGCACCACCACUUGUUCCCCUGUCCAGGUGGACACCUACCCACACAGGCUGACCAUAGCACAGGCAGAUGGUGAACCUCUCCCACUGCAGUGAUGCAAUCCUGGAAUCACCCCUGAAGAUGCUCGUCCAGACUCCACUUUCUGAGCUGACUCACAGUCUGCUUUCAUCCUGGAACACCCCAUGCCUGGGGGUGCCUUUCCCAAGCAGCUGUGGGGGCGAGGGUUUCUUGUCAUCAAGCCCUGCAGGUUUGGGUUCCCUGCUUACAUGAAGUUGAAAACAAGGGCUGAGGCACCAGCUGUUGGCAGCAGAGCAUGUCCUUCCUGCAUUGUCCUUGGAGCACAGUGCAGCUUCCAGGCUCGGCUCCUCCAGCCAGCUACUAUCCUGGAGUUAAAAAUAACAAGGAAUUUACAGCCCUCGACCUUGAACUUGGCCAAGCGCUUCCACAGAGUGGAGUGCUUCAUUUUGUGCAGUGUCAGCAGAGUGCCUGAUGGCUCAUCCUGGGUUUUUGUCCAUCUCCACAAGUCUUCUCCCCAGGGCACAGUACUGGGACGCUGUCCAGACUGGCACCGGCUGAGAGGGAUGCUGAGAGCUGGUCACGUAAGGGGGGUGGGGCUUGCCACAGGCAGGGGAGCUGGUGGGGUGUGAUCCUGGGAGUUCAAGUCCCCAAAUGUCACGGGAUUUGGGGCUUUCGUCACAUCUUUUCACAUUCUGUCUAACGACAUUUCCUUUGCUGAUGUUAUUAGCAUGGAUUUAGAAAGGUUCCCAGGUUUUCUCCUCCAUAAUUGGGAACGCAGGAAAUUCAAAGGAAACUCAUUUCAGUGUCAUUGUCUUUAAAAGGAAAACUGGGAUUGUCACCCAGCGCUGGGACUCCCACAGCCACAGGCCUUGACACGGUCCCCCAGCCCAUAUUUGCAGGUCAUUGCUUUCAGGGACAUGACGAG